rnacentral:lncRNA from 1 species
AUGAUCUCUUCCUCCGUUUACAUAAACAUCUGUGACAAUAAAUCUGAAAACCGUGGGAACGGAUAUAUGAUUCUCCUAGUAACUGAUCCAACACGCAAUCUUGGCAACUACAGCCAGAGCACUCUCGUUCCAACACCUGGAUGGAUGUGGCGUUUCUUCAGCAGCUUCAGCCUGGGCACUCUUCCACAUAAUAGGAAAGAGAUGACUCUUCCAUGGCUGAUAUGGUGAGCCUACUGAUGAGCAACACAGACACCACAAAUGGAACUUGACUGGCGGGGACCCAAGGCUGAGGACCCAGGGAACUCACCAGGGGCAAUUCGGUAUCACAAAUCAAAAACUAGUGCCUAAGUGUGUUUGUCAGCGUUGUCAGUUGCAAGGAUUAAAAAUUAUUCUAGUAUAUCUUAAACAAAAUAAGAAACAAACAAACUCACACAGGCUAUCAGGGGACUCAUGGAAUGUGUAGUUGCCUGGGGGAUCAGAGGUGGAAAAUAGGUGGGAGAAAAGACAGCCCUGGAAGGGCAAGAAAGAGAAAGCCCUGUAAUUAUCUCGUAUGUCAAACACAACAAUUUAUAUAAUACACACACGAACACGCAUGUGCGUGCACAUGUACGUAUACACACACAAACAUUGAGCUUAUUUAUCGUUGAUUAUUUUAUGUAGAGUGCAUUAUAUCAUUUUUACUUUGUUGUACUUUUCUCACUCAUGCUACCUUGUGGCAAUUCUUUCCAGCCAGGUCUUCUGAUGUAGCUCUAAUGCUUUCUUUUUCCAACGGCUACACAAUAUUCCAUGCACCAUAAUUUAUUAACCCACAGAGGGGUAUUCAUAUUUCUUGGACUCUACUAAAUUGAUGCAAUAAACAUCUUUGUACACAUAUCA